rnacentral:tRNA from 1 species
UAGGGUAUAGCGAAAUGGUAUCGUGUUUGUCUUGGGCAUAAAAGAUUACAGGUUCGAAUCCUGUUACCCUAA